GCUUCGGUAGCUCAGUUGGUAGAGCAGUGGACUGAAAAUCCUCGUGUCGGCGGUUCGAUUCCGCCCUGAAGCA
rnacentral:tRNA from 1 species